GACGAACGCUGGCGGCGUGCCUAAUACAUGCAAGUAGAACGCUGAAGCUUGGUGCUUGCACCGAGCGGAUGAGUUGCGAACGGGUGAGUAACGCGUAGGUAACCUGCCUGGUAGCGGGGGAUAACUAUUGGAAACGAUAGCUAAUACCGCAUAAGAGUAGAUGUUGCAUGACAUUUGCUUAAAAGGUGCAAUUGCAUCACUACCAGAUGGACCUGCGUUGUAUUAGCUAGUUGGUGAGGUAACGGCUCACCAAGGCAACGAUACAUAGCCGACCUGAGAGGGUGAUCGGCCACACUGGGACUGAGACACGGCCCAGACUCCUACGGGAGGCAGCAGUAGGGAAUCUUCGGCAAUGGACGGAAGUCUGACCGAGCAACGCCGCGUGAGUGAAGAAGGUUUUCGGAUCGUAAAGCUCUGUUGUAAGAGAAGAACGAGUGUGAGAGUGGAAAGUUCACACUGUGACGGUACCUUACCAGAAAGGGACGGCUAACUACGUG
rnacentral:rRNA from 1 species